UUUCUUUUUUUUUUUUUCCUUAAUGAAACAUUUCCAGUCAGUGUGUUCCCCUACCACUGCCACUGCUCAAUUCCAGCUCUAAGUUUCCUUCCCUUUCCUUGUCAUACAUGUAAAUCAAACCCCUGCCAGGUUGGUCAAAGGCAGUUGUUGUGCCCAUGUGGAAGCCCAGCAGCUGCAUUCCUGAUGUACUGCCUGGCAUCCACCUGGAAUGGCUUUCUAGGAUGUUCCCAAGAGCUCUGCAAGGAGCCCAGCAGCCAGGUAAAAUCCCAGUAUUUGGUUCAAAUGGAACCUGUGAAUUCAGUCAAGGUGUGCCCCAUCCCUUUUCCAAGGGCUGUGCUGGACAUUGAGGCACCAGCUGCCCCAUGUUCAAGGUUACUGUUAGUUCAUGGAUUUUUAAAUUGCAUCUCAGGGAGUUUUUAAAACUUUGGUGCAAGAGAAGAUGCCUUUUUCCUUUGCAGACUCCUUGAGUGCUCUGCACUGGGGAGAUGAUGUUCCAUUUGCUGCAGCUCCACAGACACUGUGGUGGCUGGCAGACUCCAGGCAGGAGUGAUUGCCCUGGUGUUUUAUUAGCUCCCAGAAAAUAUAUAGCAGGGAAAGAGGCCAUGGAGGCUCCAGCACAGUCUGCCUGAGCUCUGACCCCUCGGGCAAGAGGCUACAUUGCUUUUACAGCCAGCACUUAACCUUGCUGCUAAGACUUGUCAACAAGGAGGCCAAUUAGCAGCAGAUAAGAUGGUGGGUGAUAUAAUGCAGAUGUCUGUCUGUUAGGAGCAUAACUGAUGUAUUUUUAACACAACAAGGAUCUUAAAACAUGGCUCUGCAUAAAUGAUGCCAUCCCCUCCACUGUAGAGAAGCCCUCUCAACAGUGGAGAGUUACAGAAAAUUGUAGGUUUGUUGUUUUAGUUUGGUUUGGCUUUUUUUUCCCCUCCAGUAAAUUCUCUCUUAAAGCCUUGUUCUGCUAGGCUCAUGAUGACUAUGGCAUGUGUAGGAUUGUAAGAAACAACUAUGAAAAAAAAUGACAAUUUUAGGCUUAUUUUUCUAAACAUACGUUAAAAAUGUACAUAGAUUCAGAAUGAAAACAGGACACUUCUUGUUUUCCUGAAAGAGUCACUACACAACUGGACCUGUUUUCUGUAAUCAAACAUCAUUAUUGGAAUAUUAUCAGAAAAUACAGACUCGGGAAAUUUGAGUUGAUUAAAAUCAUGCAGGCCUACAAGGCUGUUAUAGCCUCCUGCUGCAAAGGGCAUGUCACACUAAUACCCCUGUUUGGGGGAACACAGGGGUUUUCUGUCAGACUAAAGCUACAGGGGCUGAUUGCAGGCAGUUCAUGUUUUGGUUGAGACUGGCAGUCAGGAUAAUUCAGUAAGAUAAUUCAGGGCCCUCCCAGCUUAUUUUAAGUAAUUCUUCAGUCUGGUUUUAGUGAUUUAGAACUUAUUUAAACAAUUAAGCCACUUUUUCAUAGUAUCACAGAAUGGUUUGCACUGGAAGGGAUCUGAAAGUCAUUCAGUUCCAACCCUCCUGCCACGGACAGGGACACCUUCUGCUGGACCAGAUUGUUGAGUCCCCACCAGGCUGGCCUUGAACAUUUACAGGGAUGGAGCAUCCACAGCUGCUAUGGGUAUGAUUUGCAUGAUUGCCUUUUAAUUGCUAGGAUAACUAUUAAUGUCUAGUGCAAAAAAACUCCACAGAGAGUCUCUUGUAUAUUUUCUAUUAGAGGUACAAUGUGGGCAGGAAGAGAGAGACACACCAUCACUUACCAACUCUGUGUCAAAGCUUUUCUUUCAGCUAAAGAGCCAGCAGCAGAAGAGGAGCAGUGCAUUCCAACAGCCAGCAACCUGUACAAGCAAGAGCAAGCCCACCAAACUACUGCUUAAGGAUCUGAUUUUUUUGAAAUGCGUGACUGAAGGAAGGACAGAGUGCGCAGAAGAGGAAUUAUCCCCCUUGCAGAACUGACCUGGACGGUUGCUAAAAGCCCACAGAGAGAAGUCCUGGAGCUGUCCUCGGACUAUUUGCUAUAUUUCCUCAUCAGGAGUAAGAGACACAGCUUUCCUUUACAAUUUCAAAAUUGAAGAUUAAUAUCACUGAUAAGAAGAAAAAAAGUAAAGACGUUAUCUUGUCUUGUAGGAGAAUCCUUUCCCCCUCCCUCCAAAUCAACUCUAAAUAUAGUUAAGGUAAAAAAAAAGAGAGGAAGGAAAACCAAAAGAAACCAGAAUAUAGCCAACCUUUUUAAUUAGAGUAUAUUGUACUUCCAAACUGGAUACACUAGAAAUUGGCAAUGCAACAUAAAAUGCAAAGAAAUAUACCAGUUACUGUCAAAAUGACCCUGUACAGCCUUAUAAUGCAAAAAGCUUUAUACAAUACAAAUUUUUAUUAAUGUACACAAACCUUGACAGAAUGAUAUUUGAACAUAAUACAACAAGUAAAAAAAAAAGAAGAAAGAAAAAAGUGCUGAGAACUUUAACUGAAUUACUGAAUGGAAAAACAUUCCAGCUUUCAUUAAAGAAUGCAUAGUGAAAACCAGUAUGAAAUUACCUUUAUGGUGGGGGAAUUUAUCAGAACUGUUGGUCAUUAAUCAGUAGGGGGAACCUCUGGAGAACAUUCCUGUCUUUAGUCUUGAACUGCAAACAAAUUAUUUUCAUAUGCAAGAGCUCUGAUAAAUAGGGUAUUUUUUUUUUCUUAAAAAAAUAAAAACCUCCUAACACACUUUUCCUUACAGAGAAAACUUAUAUAACUUGCCAGAAAGGAUGAAUUUAUCCUUCCAAAGUGCUAAACAAAUUUCCCAGGUACACUAAACAUUGCCAGGUCAGAUACUGGUGCAGUGGAACAUGGUCAAAAUCACACAGCAGUCGCAUGUGGGCAGCUCAUUCUUGGAAGUCACAGCCCCACUUAAGCUGCCAAUUGGUUUAGAUACAGUGGCCGACUAUUAUAACAUUCCUCCUUCUUCUUCCUCCUGGACAGCUGUACUUUACCUGUAGUUGGUGUGAAAAACAAGCUUUUUGAUUUGGGAGUGUUUGGUUUUCUGUGGUGUGGUCAGAGAUGUGCGUGUGGAGCGUGUUUUACAGAACUGGUAGAGCUGCUGGAUACAGAGUGCAGAUUUCAUGCUGUCAAGAUAGUAACUAUUUUAUGCUCUGAGUACUUCCCAACACAGUGUUUUCUAUUUUGUCUGUACUCCCAGGGAGGUGUGAGAAGGAGCUCUGAUGGAGUAAAGCGUGGAGAGCAGGGCCCUGAGUUGGGUAAGUUGUUGACAGGUUUACACGCAGUUUGGAGCAGAUGGGUUUUCCUCACUGCGUAGACAGAACUGCCAAGUGCUCAUUAGAACCAAAACUGUCUGCUGGAAUGUAAACAAAUGGUGAGACUUCUCUGUCCUGUAAUUAAUAAUGCCAAAUGAUAACCUGCUGUGAUUUUGGAUAUUUCCCCCUUGUAACUAGCUUCCAGUAUGGUAACAGGAGUGUGCAGAUUAGGAUGUCCUCCACAUACAGGAAGUAUUUGGUCAUGACAGUGGAGAAUGUUUGGCCAUCUCAAUGCAAAACAAAUGUAGGAAUCUUGCAAAUGGGUUAAAGUGAUGCAAGUUUUGCAUCCAGAAAGUCUUUCUACACAAGCUUAAUUUAAGAACUAAUGAAGAUGGAGUUACAUUUCUACUUGUCCAUAUGGCUAAGAGCCCUUGUGGACAAGAAAUGCUUUCCUGCUGGGGUGGUUGGAUUCCCCCAUCCCACAACAACCUGUAGAGGAAGUUCCUUCAGGAAAGCAUGAGGGUGGGUAGAUAGCAUGAAAGAUGUGACUCAGGGCACCUCCUACAGUGGCUUGGCCAAGGGACAGGGAGGGGACUGUGGCAAAAGCUAGGUCAGACACUUCUAAUAGCUGGUAAAGGACAGCCAGAUCCAAAUCCAAGAGACACCAUGGAAAACAAUAAUUCAGAAUGAAGGCAUUCCUGUACAUCAUAUGAUCAUUUUGAAAUGCUUCACUUUUUAUACUUCCAAUUGUAAAACAGAGUGCUUUUAAUCCCAGUCUUUCUUCACAAUAUAUUAAGUUGUCUAAGGAACAAAAAUCAAUUAACAGUGGGUUAGCUUCUCUUGCAUUAAGAUCACUCUUGGCAUUUUGAGAUUAACAAAGGUUAUACAACCAAUCUGCAUUCACUUCUUCCUGCAAUAAAGUGCUACAUGUAACAUAUCAUUUUAAUGAGCACAAGUAGGAGCAUUAAAUAAGUACAACGUUAUCUUCCUAGCAGGACACACUCUAUCUGCCAUCAACAGAAAGGAAUAAAGUAUUACUGAUGACAUGGAGGGGAGCGAGAGGACUGUCAAAUUUGCAAGUACAAUUGAAAUACUGAGGGUAUAAAAGAGAACUUUAUGAUUCCAAAAGCAUCUUUUUAUAGCUUUAUAUUUCAAAGAAGUUACUGGUACCUUUUCAAAUAAACAAUCUUAUUAACUUCAGCCCAAAAUUUGUUUUUUUCUUUUUUUUUUUUUUUUUGCAAGUGAGAAACAAACUAGUGCAAGACUAAAGCACUGUGCAAAACUGCCUUUUUUUUUUAGUCUGAGUAUUUAUACCCAGAAUUUAUCCAUACCCUUUUUAAAAUCCCCUUGUUGGAUUUUUUUUCCACCAUAGAAUUCUAGUUAUACAAGUUGUUCCUGCAAAGUAAAAGGUAACCACUGCAUAAUACAGUAUAUAUAUAAUAUUUAUAUGCCCUUUUAAAACAAAAGAUGUAUGCUGUGGCCCAGGGGCAGGUGUUUGUCACACCUGUGUAAAAGCGGAGAAUUGGGCCUGCUGUGUGGGUGUGUAGGCUGCACACAGCAUGUGUGUGGAUAUACACACUCUUUUCAUUGUCAUGCUCUCAUCCUGCAAUGCUGAAAGCAACUUCUUUUCCUCACCAGUUCUACCCCAAAGCCUCAAACCUUAACAACUGAAUACAAGGCAUCAAACAACUAAAGGAAGCUGCAAACAGCACUGAAAGAAUACACCAGUUCUCCACCUGCCCCGCCCCAAACAUUGCUCCUGAACUGCUCCACAGUUCAGGGGCAGGCAGGGGGAAGGCAGAGAGUGAGGGUGUGGAAAGGGGAAAAGAAGGAUGAUUAAAGAAGCGAAUCCAAGGGAUGUGCAAAAGCAAUGUCAUGGCACACUACAGGCAGCCUCUCUUCCACGCACCUGCACGCACACAAAGCCCAAAAAUAAAAUGCAUCAAUAUGUCAUCUUACAAGUGCUGAUUGC